rnacentral:rRNA from 1 species
UACGUAGGGUGCGAGCGUUGUCCGGAAUUAUUGGGCGUAAAGGGCUCGUAGGCGGUUUGUCGCGUCGGGAGUGAAAACACCGGGCUCAACCUCGGGCGUGCGAUGGAUACUGCCGGGCUAGAGGAUGGUAGAGGCGAGUGGAAUUCCCGGUGUAGCGGUGAAAUGCGUAGAGAUCGGGAGGAAGGCCGGUGGCGAAGGCGGCGCUCUGGAACAUUUCUGACGCUGAGGCUCGAAAGCGUGGGGAGCAAACAGG